rnacentral:rRNA from 1 species
AUUGAACGCUGGCGGCAGGCCUAACACAUGCAAGUCGAGCGGAUGAACGGAGCUUUCUCCUGGAUUCAGCGGCGGACGGGUGAGUAAUGCCUAGGAAUCUGCCUGGUAUUGGUGUAUAACGUCCGGAAACGGGCGCUAAUACCGCAUACGUCCUGAUCGUGAAAGUGGGGGAUCUUCGGACCUCACGCUAUCUGAUGUGCCUAGGUCGGAUUUGCUAGUUGGUUGGGUAAAGGCCUACCAAGGCGACGAUCCGUAACUGGUCUGAGAGGAUGAUCAGUCACACUGGAACUGAGACACGGUCCAGACUCCUACGGGAGGCAGCAGUGGGGAAUAUUGGACAAUGGGCGAAAGCAUGAUACAGCCAGGCCGCGUGUGUGAAGAAGGUCUUCGGAUUGUAAAGCACUUUAAGUUGGGAGGAAGGGAAGUAAGUUAAUACCUUGCUGUUUUGACGUUACCAAAAGAAUAAGCACCGGCUAACUACGUG